UCGGUGAGAGGAGUGGGACUACACUUCCCAGUGGCCUUUGUGGGAGCAGACUUCCCCUUCGGUCGGUGAGAGGAGCGGAACUACACUUCCCAGGGGGGUUGCGGAGCUCGCUGGGCGCGUGGAACCAGUCGGCGGCUGGUUUCAAGUCCCAGGAUGAUUCACGAGCUGCUCUUGGCGCUGAGCGGGUAUCCCGGGGCCGCGUUCACCUGGAGCAAGAGGAGCGGCCUCCAGGUGUCCCAGGAGCUGCCGUUCCUGCACCCCAGCGAGAGCAGCGUCCUCAAUCGGCUCUGCCGCCUCGGCACCGACUACAUUCGCUUCACCGAGUUCAUCGAGCAGUACACGGGCCACGUGCAACAGCAGGAUCAUCACCCUUCCCAGCAGAACCAAUGUGGGUUACAUGGGAUUUACUUGCGGGCCUUCUGUACAGGGCUCGAUUCAGUGCUGCAGCCCUACCGACAGGCGUUGCUUGACCUGGAGCAGGAGUUCCUGGCUGACCCUCACCUCUCCAUCUCCCACAUUAACUACUCCCUGGAUCAGUUCCAACUCCUCUUCCCCUCGGUGAUGGUUGUGGUGGAGCAGAUCAAGACCCAGAAGAUUCAUGGCUGUCAACUCCUGGAGACUGUCCAUAAACACAGCUGUGGGGGGCUGCCCCCUGUGCGUAGUGCACUGGAAAAGAUCCUGGCUGUAUGUCAUGGAGUCAUGUAUAAGCAGCUCUCUGCCUGGAUGCUGCAUGGACUGCUCCUGGACCAACAUGAAGAGUUCUUUGUUAAACAAGGCCCAUCUUCUGGGAAUGUCCCUGCCCAGCCUGAAGAAGAGGAUGAUGACCUGGGAAUUGGGGGACUAACAGGAAAACAGUUGCGAGAGCUGCAGGACCUGCGCCUGAUUGAGGAGGAGAACAUGUUAGCACCAUCUCUGAAACAGUUUUCUCUGCGAGUGGAAAUGUUACCAUCGUACAUCCCUGUCCGGGUUGCUGAGAAAAUCCUCUUUGUGGGAGAAUCAGUACAGAUGUUUGAGAAUCAAAAUGUGAACCUGACCAGAAAAGGCUCCAUCUUGAAAAACCAGGAAGACACUUUUGCUGCAGAGCUACACCGCCUCAAGCAGCAGCCACUCUUUAGUCUGGUGGACUUUGAGGCUGUGGUUGACUGGAUUCGGAGCACGGUUGCUGAGCACCUAUGGAAACUGAUGGUAGAAGAAUCAGAUUUACUAGGACAACUAAAGAUUAUUAAGGAUUUUUAUCUAUUGGGGAGAGGAGAAUUGUUCCAGGCCUUCAUAGACACUGCACAGCACAUGUUAAAAACCCCACCCACAGCUGUAACGGAACAUGAUGUCAAUGUUGCGUUCCAGCAGUCUGCUCACAAGGUGUUGCUAGAUGAUGAUAACCUCCUUCCUUUGCUCCACCUUACCAUUGAGUAUCAUGGAAAGGAGCAUAAAGAUGCUUCUCAGGCUCGUGAAGGGCCUUCCCGGGAGUUAUCUCCCCGUGAAGCCCCCACAUCUGGUUGGGCAGCUCUGGGGCUCUCUUAUAAAGUGCAGUGGCCAUUGCACAUCCUCUUCACUCCUGCUGUCUUGGAGAAAUACAACGUUGUAUUCAAAUACUUGCUGAGUGUGCGGCGGGUCCAGGCUGAGCUGCAGCACUGCUGGGCUCUCCAGAUGCAGCGCAAGCACCUGAAGUCCAACAGAACUGAUGCAAUCAAGUGGCGUCUGAGGGAUCACAUGGCCUUCCUUGUGGAUAAUCUUCAGUACUAUCUGCAGGUGGAUGUGCUGGAGUCUCAGUUCUCACAGCUUCUGCUGCAGAUAAACUCCACUCGGGAUUUUGAGAGCAUCCGGUUGGCUCAUGAUCACUUCUUAAGUAACCUGUUGGCUCAAUCCUUCAUCCUGCUCAAACCUGUUUUCCAUUGCCUGAAUGAAAUCCUGGAUCUCUGUCACAGUUUCUGUUCUCUGGUCAGUCAGAAUUUGGGCCCAUUGGAUGAGCGUGGAGCUGCACAGCUGAGCAUCCUGGUAAAGGGCUUCAGCCGUCAGUCCUCGCUCCUCUUCAAGAUUCUCUCCAGCGUUCGCAACCACCAGAUAAACUCUGACUUGGCUCAGCUGCUGCUCCGCCUGGACUACAACAAAUACUACACCCAGGCUGGCGGGACCUUGGGCAGUUUUGGGGUUUGAGCACUGAGACCGGUUUUUCUGGCUGAGAACUAGUGCGCAGCAAGGACAACAACUGCUGCUGCACCUUCUGCCAGCUAUGGACUAUGAGGUCUUGAUAUGAGUGCAGCCGGCUAAGGCCUGUGUGUCACUGUGUGGUAACUGCUUGCUUGUGUGAUGGGGGCCAGAUGCUGUACUGUUCCUGCAGGGGAAAGGGCUUGCCUCAUACCUGGAAUCUUAAAAGUAGGGCUGUCAAUCACACUUAACACCUGUGAUUAACUGAAAACAAAAUUAAUGUGUUAAUCACAUACCUCUACCCAGAGAGGGAGGCAUGGACAGGAGGUGGCUACAGCCCCAGUCCAGAGCCUAUAUUUGAAAAUAUAGAAAACAUCCAAAAAUAUUUUAAUAAAUUGUAUUCUAUUUAA